rnacentral:rRNA from 1 species
GGUUAAGCGACUAAGCGUACACGGUGGAUGCCCUGGCAGUCAGAGGCGAUGAAGGACGUGCUAAUCUGCGAUAAGCGCCGGUAAGGUGAUAUGAACCGUUAUAACCGGCGAUUUCCGAAUGGGGAAACCCAGUGUGACUCGUCACACUAUCAUUAACUGAAUCCAUAGGUUAAUGAGGCGAACCGGGGGAACUGAAACAUCUAAGUACCCCGAGGAAAAGAAAUCAACCGAGAUUCCCCCAGUAGCGGCGAGCGAACGGGGAGGAGCCCAGAGCCUGAAUCAGCAUGUGUGUUAGUGGAAGCGUCUGGAAAGGCGCGCGAUACAGGGUGACAGCCCCGUACACAAAAGCGCAUGUGCUGUGAGCUCGAUGAGUAGGGCGGGACACGUGGUAUCCUGUCUGAAUAUGGGGGGACCAUCCUCCAAGGCUAAAUACUCCUGACUGACCGAUAGUGAACCAGUACCGUGAGGGAAAGGCGAAAAGAACCCCGGCGAGGGGAGUGAAAAAGAACCUGAAACCGUGUACGUACAAGCAGUGGGAGCCCCACCACUAAGCCAGUGGUGAACUCCACAUACGCAUCCUUUGCUGAGGAUACGGUUAACGGAGCGAAAGCGACGUUCAACCUCAAAAGAAGCAGAGGGGGCUUAGUGGUGGGGUGACUGCGUACCUUUUGUAUAAUGGGUCAGCGACUUAUAUUCUGUAGCAAGGUUAACCGUAUAGGGGAGCCGCAGGGAAACCGAGUCUUAACCGGGCGUUAAGUUGCAGGGUAUAGACCCGAAACCCGGUGAUCUAGCCAUGGGCAGGUUGAAGGUUGGGUAACACUAACUGGAGGACCGAACCGACUAAUGUUGAAAAAUUAGCGGAUGACCUGUGGCUGGGGGUGAAAGGCCAAUCAAACCGGGAGAUAGCUGGUUCUCCCCGAAAGCUAUUUAGGUAGCGCCUCGUGAAUUCAUCUCCGGGGGUAGAGCACUGUUUCGGCUAGGGGGCCAUCCCGGCUUACCAACCCGAUGCAAACUGCGAAUACCGGAGAAUGUUAUCACGGGAGACACACGGCGGGUGCUAACGUCCGUCGUGAAGAGGGAAACAACCCAGACCGCCAGCUAAGGUCCCAAAGUCAUGGUUAAGUGGGAAACGAUGUGGGAAGGCCCAGACAGCCAGGAUGUUGGCUUAGAAGCAGCCAUCAUUUAAAGAAAGCGUAAUAGCUCACUGGUCGAGUCGGCCUGCGCGGAAGAUGUAACGGGGCUAAACCAUGCACCGAAGCUGCGGCAGCGACACUGUGUGUUGUUGGGUAGGGGAGCGUUCUGUAAGCCUGUGAAGGUGGCCUGUGAGGGUUGCUGGAGGUAUCAGAAGUGCGAAUGCUGACAUAAGUAACGAUAAAGCGGGUGAAAAGCCCGCUCGCCGGAAGACCAAGGGUUCCUGUCCAACGUUAAUCGGGGCAGGGUGAGUCGACCCCUAAGGCGAGGCCGAAAGGCGUAGUCGAUGGGAAACGGGUUAAUAUUCCCGUACUUGGUGUUACUGCGAAGGGGGGACGGAGAAGGCUAUGUUGGCCGGGCGACGGUUGUCCCGGUUUAAGCGUGUAGGUGUGUGUUCCAGGUAAAUCCGGUUCACUUUAACACUGAGGCGUGAUGACGAGGCACUACGGUGCUGAAGCAACAAAUGCCCUGCUUCCAGGAAAAGCCUCUAAGCAUCAGGUAACAUCAAAUCGUACCCCAAACCGACACAGGUGGUCAGGUAGAGAAUACCAAGGCGCUUGAGAGAACUCGGGUGAAGGAACUAGGCAAAAUGGUGCCGUAACUUCGGGAGAAGGCACGCUGACACGUAGGUGAAGUGAUUUACUCAUGGAGCUGAAGUCAGUCGAAGAUACCAGCUGGCUGCAACUGUUUAUUAAAAACACAGCACUGUGCAAACACGAAAGUGGACGUAUACGGUGUGACGCCUGCCCGGUGCCGGAAGGUUAAUUGAUGGGGUCAGCGCAAGCGAAGCUCCUGAUCGAAGCCCCGGUAAACGGCGGCCGUAACUAUAACGGUCCUAAGGUAGCGAAAUUCCUUGUCGGGUAAGUUCCGACCUGCACGAAUGGCGUAAUGAUGGCCAGGCUGUCUCCACCCGAGACUCAGUGAAAUUGAACUCGCUGUGAAGAUGCAGUGUACCCGCGGCAAGACGGAAAGACCCCGUGAACCUUUACUAUAGCUUGACACUGAACAUUGAGCCUUGAUGUGUAGGAUAGGUGGGAGGCUUUGAAGUGUGGACGCCAGUCUGCAUGGAGCCGACCUUGAAAUACCACCCUUUAAUGUUUGAUGUUCUAACGUGGACCCGUAAUCCGGGUUGCGGACAGUGUCUGGUGGGUAGUUUGACUGGGGCGGUCUCCUCCUAAAGAGUAACGGAGGAGCACGAAGGUUGGCUAAUCCUGGUCGGACAUCAGGAGGUUAGUGCAAUGGCAUAAGCCAGCUUGACUGCGAGCGUGACGGCGCGAGCAGGUGCGAAAGCAGGUCAUAGUGAUCCGGUGGUUCUGAAUGGAAGGGCCAUCGCUCAACGGAUAAAAGGUACUCCGGGGAUAACAGGCUGAUACCGCCCAAGAGUUCAUAUCGACGGCGGUGUUUGGCACCUCGAUGUCGGCUCAUCACAUCCUGGGGCUGAAGUAGGUCCCAAGGGUAUGGCUGUUCGCCAUUUAAAGUGGUACGCGAGCUGGGUUUAGAACGUCGUGAGACAGUUCGGUCCCUAUCUGCCGUGGGCGCUGGAGAACUGAGGGGGGCUGCUCCUAGUACGAGAGGACCGGAGUGGACGCAUCACUGGUGUUCGGGUUGUCAUGCCAAUGGCACUGCCCGGUAGCUAAAUGCGGAAGAGAUAAGUGCUGAAAGCAUCUAAGCACGAAACUUGCCCCGAGAUGAGUUCUCCCUGAGACUUUAGUCUCCUGAAGGAACGUUGAAGACGACGACGUUGAUAGGCCGGGUGUGUAAGCGCAGCGAUGCGUUGAGCUAACCGGUACUAAUGAACCGUGAGGCUUAACCUU